GCGGCUCGCUGGAUCUAGCGGCAGAGCUCAGGCUCCUGAUCUGGGCGAGCUCGAGCUCUGUCGCCAGAUCCGGCGAGCUUGA
rnacentral:pre_miRNA from 1 species